rnacentral:lncRNA from 1 species
UUACUCCUAGGGAGACUCGAACUCACAACCUCUUGCUUACCAUUAUUGAUAAUAUUGAACUAAUUAUGGCUAGAUAUCGUUGUUUCGGAGUUGGAUUCUAGAGGAAAGGCGGUGUUAGAGGCUUGAUUGCUAUUAUCAGACCGAGGUAAGUCUUUGAUCUAACUUUGAUCUGAUAAUUUAUAUUAAACAACCAUCAUCUUAUCUAAACGAUGAAUAAUAGACAACAUUUCAACUAAAUGAUACAAUUUACUAAAUACACAUUUCUACCAAAUAAAACAUGAUAAAAUCAAGUAGACAAAUAUUUAUUUAAUUUUUCUUCAUUUGAGCAAACUAUCAGUGAAACACGUCGAACAAAUUGACAGGGAUAGAACAACGAAGCCGGAACCAACUGACCAGAAAACUCGAACCUCAACGGAAAACUGCUAUUCUACCCGGAAGAACCUGUUAAACGAACCUUUGACUCCUCACUGUUGUUCUGUUUGUUUUCGGACUGAGGAAGGUCUUUUGGGCAGUAGGACGACGGAGCUGGUGGACGUUGGCGACGGUCAACUGAAAUGGUCGUCAUAGACGAAGGCGGUCGACGGGCCGCUGGUCGCGGAUGGAGGCGGACGGGCAGUGGUUUUUGCGUGGUGCAGUUUGGUUGUGUGUGGCUGAAGCUCGUGGAGGACUGGUUCGCCGGAAAUGGCAGUGGUCAUUGGCGACGCUGGAACAGUUUGGCGUCUGUAUAUAUCUUGGUUCAUCCCCGUCAAAGUGUAGUCUCUUUCUUUCCUUUUUUUUAAUCUGAACGUGACCCCAUUAAUCCCUAUUUUAAUCUAUAUCCUCUUUUUCUUUUUCAUAAAGAAGGGGACAGGCGUGGGGACAGGCUCCCAAAAAUUCACUGUCCGUAAUCUCCUCCUUAAAUUGUGUAUUUUGUCCACAUGGUCUACCGUUAUGGGUAAGAUAUGGUGGGUUUGGAUUAUUAUGAGCUAGGUCCGAAAAUAAGUUAUAGUCCAGUUUCU